GGGUUUGCUGUGCCCCCACUCCCGGGGGAACCCGGCCCGGCGCGGCAGGGGCAGACCCGCUCCUCAGUAUUUUCACCCGGGCCACCAUCCCGCCUGUGCCUCGCCGUUCCACAGGGACGGAGACAAAGCCCAGAGCUGGGAGUGAGCAGCCUGGUCCCCACCUCAGGCGUACGGGAAGUUUGAGUGGGGUCCCCGGUCAAGAGGCAGGGAGGCGAGCAGGGCUGGAAGGAACAGCGGCCCUUGGGUGUACCCGGGGAUGGAUGACGGAGUCCCCUGAAACCGUCGGGGAAGCGUCCCUCCUGGUCCCUGCCUUCUUCUGUGGAAGAAAAGCCAGAAAAGCUGCGGCCCUUCCUCCUCCACGGAGCAGAAAACUGCCGCUGAAUCCGAAACUAUUUGUGAGUGGGCAAACAACAAAAAAAUAAAUCUGUGGUUAUGGAUAGCA